CUUUGUUCCCUCAUGUGAAGACGCGUGUACACAGAACAAAACUUUUCUUGUUCCAGCAGGUUCCAUAUUUCUUUCACUCCAUAUUUUGUGUCCUCUCUUGUAUUCGUCCUCCACUUCUGGGUGGUUUCUUAUUUUCGACUCUUCAUCUCAAUGGUUACAUCUGGCUAAUGAACCCAAGGUGUUCGGUAAUAUGCCUACAACAACAACAACAAGCCCAGUAUAAUCCCACCAUGUGGUGUCUGGGGAGGGUAGAGUGUUCAAUGGAGUGCGGCUCUUUCCGAAAGACCCUCGGCUCAAGAGAAGAAAACAAGACAAAAGGUCAGAUAGGGCCAAGCAUAUCGAAAAUAAUAUGAAAAGUUGGUAAUAUGCCUGAGACAACUAAAUUAUUUGGGUGAAUUUGGUAGAGUAUAAGCAAAAUCCAAAAGUUAAUUACAAAGACGAGGAACCAAAAUACUUACGUUGGCCACCCUUCGUUUUCCUCGGUAUGUGUUUCUUUUGCGUGGUUGCGAUACAACUUGUGAAGAAUUCUUGUGUCGUUUUGUUUUUAGUUUAUUUUCCUUGUGUCAUCUUUGAUUUAUAGCAUUACUGAGGUAACAGCAUGUUGGUUUCAAGGGUGCUAGCAAAAUUGUUGCUUGUUCUCCGUCUGCUGAAGUUGGUUAGUCCUUUUGACAAUUUUACGCUCUCUCCAUCUGUGGUUUUCUUAUUGACGAGUUUGUGUCAGUGUUUUCCAUUCUGUAAUUUCAUUAUUCUUUGUUUUUAUCUCUUUACCGUAUUAAUUCUUAACUGAUCUUGAUCAUUUUAAACUCGAUUUCUUUUAUCUACAUUGCUUGAUUUGGGUAAGUUGUACUGGGUUUUAGUUAUUCUUGUUAGUGUGUUAGUAAUAUUUAUUUUCCAAUGUUAAUCAGUUAGCAUUACAUAUAAACAAAAUGGAAGAAAUUGUAUGGAAUCAGAGGAGAAUUUAGAGCACCAGUGCAAAUACUGGCCCUAAUUGAGAAACAAGAAGUAAGAAAAGUGGGCAACCAAAGAACAUGAAGGGUGGCCUUCUUUCCUUGCUAUCCAUAGGGGAAUCAAGACAAAUGUUAUGCCAUCAGAUUACUACGAUUUUGCCCUUCAGGUACCAUGAAAAUAAGGUGAUAAAAUUUAUUUUUGAGCUUACUUUUGUAUCCCUUGUUUAUAUUAAACAAUUGGAUAAAUUUGAAGAAUCGUGGGAAGAAGAAUUGUUGAGCAUUCAAAUUGCUCUUGAUUCACUGGUGCCUCAUCUUCUUGGAUGAUUAAAAGAUGCUACUAUAUGCAUUUAAGUUUAAACCUUAGCAUCUUUAUGCAUUUAUUAUACUUUUAUGAGGUUUGUGUUUAUUAAUCUUUUUUAAGAGAGUUAAAGGUGGACUUCUUUUCCUUAUUGAGAUGUUUCUAUAAAUGACCAUGAAGAAGGAAGGUGCUUAUGGCUAAAAUUUUUGUAAGAAGACUUGAAAAGUCGACAUUCCCUAUACAUAGAGUAAUCUAUUCUCUGUUAAGGAGGUAGUUAUACACAAACACUAAUGUCAUCAAUUUAAUUUAUAUGGCUCGUGUAUGUUUUUCGAGGAGCUAAAUUUUUUGAAAGCCUUUAAUAUUCGUAACUACUGUAACUUCUCCAGCUCUACUUUUGAGACUUCAAGUUCAAUGAAACUGUAUUGGAACUACAUUGUCUUUUAAAUUGUAGCACCACUUGAAAAGUCGACAUUCCCUAUACAUAGAGUAAUCUAUUCUCUAUUAAGGAGGUAGUUAUACACAAACACUCAUGUCAUCAAUUUAAUUUAUAUGGCUCGUGUAUGUUUUUUGAGGAGUUAAAUUUUUUGAAAGCCUUUAAUAUUCGAUAACUACUGUAACUUCUCCAGCUCUACUUUUGAGACUUCAAGUUCAAUGAAAGUGUGCUGGAACUACAUUGUCUUUUAAAUUGUAGCACCAAAAUGAUAGACUUUAUAAGUGAUUCGAUGAUGGUUACUGGGCUGUUAAAGGUAAUAUAGUUUUCAUAACUGUUUGGUUGAGUUAUCAUGCUACAACAGAGAUAUUUCCAAUUAAAAAAUGACGAAUAUGUUAAUGCAUAGAGAUUAAGAUGAUUCUUAUUGGAUAGGUUAGAGAUUAAAAGAAUUAAGUAAACAAAAAUGAGAAGAAAGGGAUAACUGGUUGAUACAAAAUUUGUUUCAUCAACCAAAUCCCGUUGAAGAAAAUUGAGGAUUAAUCCUUUGUGGUAAUAUUUGUAGCUUGAUGACAAUUCUAAAACUCUGGUAAUGCACAAGCAACAAUAAGCUUCCUCUUACCUUCACCUAUUCAAGUAAGUUUCUGAUUUUCUUACAAGGGAAAUAUGCAGGAAGUCUGAUUCUCCUAGCCUAAUAGAUUACUAUACUUGGUGAAAUCUUCUUCUCCUCAACUUGUGCAACAGUCCCUGUCUCAACUAGAAUAUAUUGAUGUAAGCAAAGAAUUGGAAGGUGGAAAAAGUAAGAAGAACGGUCAAAGAAUGAAUCACAUCAAAUCUUGGUUGUUUACUUCAUGACGGCUAGAUUACAAUAAGCAACAUCAGCUAUAGUGCUCAAGACGUGAAAUUCCUUUCUGGUGAUGUGCUGUUUCAGCCUUUCAGUUGAACAACUCGGGACAAAAUAAUUCCUCAUGUACUGUCAUGGUUUACUGGUGAGGCUGCAGAAGAUGAUGAAUCUGAAGAUAUGGAAGAUGUUAUUAAAAAAGAUGGACAUAAGGAUUAAGAGAAGUGACAGAAAGGUUGUACUAGCUUGGGGAAAAAAGUGAGGUAACAAAGCCGCCACCAGUUCCAGUGGCACCAAACAGAAAUGAAUGAGAAGACUGCAUUAUUAUCGAUGUUGAAGAUUACAAGGCCACUAGUUAUUCUACCGUGCCAAUGUUUGUCCAACAUACAGAAGCAAUGAUGGAGGAAAUUGCGAGGAUGGAUGAGGAGAUAGAGAUGGAAGAUGUUGAGCAUUGGUCAAUUGUUGAUUUGUUGACACAGACCGUUCUUAUAAAAAGAACUCACUUGCGGUGGUGGAAUACAUUGACAAUAUCUAUGAUUACUGCAAGAAGGCUGAGGUUGUCAACUGCCAGAGUUAAGGUAGAUUUGCUAGAUGCAAGGAAGUAGCAGCAGAGCAUCAUCCUUAUCUCUGAUGCAGAUCAAAGUCAGACCAAAAGAGUGUCUCUUCCCUUUUAAAGCUCAAGUCAGCAUAGAAUGUUAUUUCAAGUGAAGGUACACAUUCAUCUACUUGUCUACUGAAGAUGGCAUGCUUUCUAUUUAAUUUAUCGGAAUACUGUACAAGUUUCUCUUCUCUUUUCCACAGCCGACAACAACUGGUUGAAUCCAGAUUAUAUCCGUUACACCAAGAACAUCAUGAUUUCACAACUUUUCUCUUUCUAGCAAGCUUGACAAUGUAAUAAUAUAACUUUGUUCCGCACAAUAUGAAGCAUAUUAUGUUAUGAGUAAUAUUUAAUUUGAUGGUACUAAUUCCUUUUUUUUAGUUGAACUCCUACAAAACGAGUAAGGAAGUACCUUACAAAAGUCAAACCACUUUUAUAUAACAACAUUCGCCCGUGCUUUGCACGGGGUCGGGCCAUCUAGUUUCUUUUAGAUUUUCGCUUAACUUAGUUAUGUGUUGGAUAUACUUGUGAAAGCUUAUACACAUACACUUUUUAAAAGAGAGUUAUCAAUCGUUAAAUCAAGAUAUGAAUUCUAUUAAAAAAUGCAAAUGAUACUAAAUCACUUAAUAUUUGCCUCCGUUGAGAUUUAAACAUAGUUAAAACUUUAUAAUUCUCAACUCACUUUGUUGGCCACUGAGCCAUUCCCUCUCGGAUGCUUUGUCUUUGCCUCCGCUAGAAUUAAAACAUGAGACUUCAUAUUCUCAAUCCACUUCAUUUAGCACUAGGCCACACCAGAUUGUUUGUCCUGAAUGUUUGUUUGAAGGGACCAAACGGUUCAAAGGUUAAGGUUUUUGUUUUGCAAGGCGAAUUUAUUUUUCUGUCCUUCGAUACUUUGCACAAAAUGAAG